GAUGAACGCUGGCGGCGUGCCUAACACAUGCAAGUCGAACGGACGGACGCGAACCUUGUUUUUCUGUUGUUAGCCGCGGGCGGGAGUGUAACGCGUGGAUAACCUACCUCACAGUCUGGUAUACCUUCGGAACACCGGAGCUAAUCGCGGAUGAUAUUUUGAACCGCAUGGUUCAGAGGAGAGAGACGGUCUUGAUGUCACUUAUAGAUGGAUCCGUGCUGCAUUAGCUAGUUGGUGAGGUAACGGCCUACCAAGGCAACGAUGCGUAGCCGACCUGAGAGGGUGAUCGGCGACACUGGAGCUGAGACAGGGUCCAGACUCCUACGGGAGGCAGCAGUAGGGUAUCUGACGCAAAGGGCGAAAGCCUGACGGAGCAACGCCGCGUGAGUGAUGAAGGUCUUCGGAUCGUAAAACUCUGUUAUGAGGGAAGAACAUAUGUGUAAGUAACUGUGCAGAUCUUGACGGUACCUAAACAGAAAGCCACGGCUAACUACGUG
rnacentral:rRNA from 1 species